GUAAUCGCAGAUCAGCAUGCUGCGGUGAAUACGUUCCCGGGCCUUGUACACACCGCCCGUCACACCAUGGGAGUCGGUAACACCCGAAGUCGGUAGCCUAACCGUAAGGAGGGCGCCGCCGAAGGUGGGAUUGAUGACUGGGGUGAAGUCGUAACAAGGUAAC
rnacentral:rRNA from 1 species